AAAAACAGAAAAUUGUCUUUUGAUAAUGAAAAAAAAAUGUUUGGACUUUAACGGUGCUUUUUUGUGGACUUUAGCGGAACUUGUUGUUGUGGACUUUAACGGUGUUUUCUUGUGGACUUUAGCGGAGGUAAUUUUGUGGACUUUAGCGGAAAUUUUGUGGACUUUAGCGGCGUUGUGGACUUUAGCGGAAAAUUGUUGUGGACUUUAGCGGUGUUGUGGACUUUAGAGGAAUUGUGGACUUUAACGGUGCCACA
rnacentral:lncRNA from 1 species